AUUGAACGCUGGCGGCAUGCCUUACACAUGCAAGUCGAACGGCAGCGCGGACUUCGGUCUGGCGGCGAGUGGCGAACGGGUGAGUAAUACAUCGGAACGUACCCUGUUGUGGGGGAUAACUAGUCGAAAGAUUAGCUAAUACCGCAUACGACCUGAGGGUGAAAGCGGGGGACCGCAAGGCCUCGCGCAGCAGGAGCGGCCGAUGUCUGAUUAGCUAGUUGGUGGGGUAAAGGCCCACCAAGGCGACGAUCAGUAGCUGGUCUGAGAGGACGAUCAGCCACACUGGGACUGAGACACGGCCCAGACUCCUACGGGAGGCAGCAGUGGGGAAUUUUGGACAAUGGGGGCAACCCUGAUCCAGCAAUGCCGCGUGUGUGAAGAAGGCCUUCGGGUUGUAAAGCACUUUUGUCCGGAAAGAAAACGCUCUGGUUAAUACCUGGGGUGGAUGACGGUACCGGAAGAAUAAGCACCGGCUAACUACGUGCCAGCAGCCGCGGUAAUACGUAGGGUGCGAGCGUUAAUCGGAAUUACUGGGCGUAAAGCGUGCGCAGGCGGUUUUGUAAGA
rnacentral:rRNA from 1 species